CAGGUGAAUGCUGCCUGUCA
rnacentral:miRNA from 1 species